UCCAGCCUGGGCAACAGAGCCAGACUCCGUCUUAAAAAAAAAAAAAAAAGAAAAGAAAAGAAAGAAAACAGGAUAUUUAUUUUAGCUUCUUAGUUAACAUGGUUAAUUUUGUGUAUUUGAGCGAUUCGUUGACUGCCUCCUCCCUGCAGUUUUUUACGGUUCCUCUGGUUGUUGACAGGCUUGCUGUGAGCCACACGUCUGUGGGUGCAAGUGACAGCAGCUGGGCAGGUGGCGGUGCACUCCAGCGGCAGGAAGGUCCUGAGAUGGCUACGAGAAUGUGGUCAUGCUCAGGACACUCGCUCAGGGAGGGUCAUUUUCUAGGAUUUUACAAGCUCAGCACCACUUCCUUAUUCCGUUAUCAGGGUAUCUCUGCUGUUGGAGUUAUGUUCUUUCGGUUAUGUAUUAGGUUAUAGCUAUUUAUUAAAUUUUUUCUUGUUCAUAUUCUUCUUUGUAUAUAAACAAUGCUAAAAUGGGUUAGUCAGAAAAAAUUACUAAAUGUCAUUUGUUGUAUUCUCUCUGUAUUUUUACUAACAUCAUUCAGCUGGAAAUAAUUUCAAAAAGAAAUAAAAUACCUUUCCCAUUACAAAUCUCUUCCUUGCAUUAUUGAAGCAGCUGCAUAAAUGAGGUAGGACUCAGGCCUGGGGCGAGGGGCAGACCCCCACUGGGUGAAUGUGGCCAGCCUGGGGCAGUGACCCAGGCAGGAGAGAGGGUCUGGAGCAGGGCCCCAAGUGGGAGAGGAACCCCUUAGGGUGUGCUUAGAGAAACAAGGCCAUGCGCUCCCCAGACCCUCCCUCCGUCCAGUCAAGACUGUGCCGGCCUCGCCCCGGAGCAAGACCUGGGGAACUGGACUUCGGCCAGUGCACUUGGGCCAGGGUGGGGCCAAAGGGUUGGAGUGUCCUCCCGGACGUGGAGGGAGACUGGACAGAAGGGAGGGAGGGAGUAUGGGUGCAACGGGCCCAGCAGGUCUGUGAGACACCCUCCUCUCUCCAGCAACUCCGCAACUCUGUGUGCAGGAGAACUUUGUCAGUGACUUUUCAUGAGGGUUUAACAGCGGGUGGUUUAAGCUCACGCCAGACCUAGCCGGAAAUGCCUGCAUUCUGAACCGCUGCUGUGCCGGUGGGUGGUGCGAGUUCUUGGUAUCUGGGGAGGAGGAAAGCUCGUUCCACUGAAACGAGCCGACGCCUCGUGUCUGAGAGCACUGGCCUGGCCGCCGAGGCUUUGGGAUGGUGCAGGCACCUCUUGUCCUGAAAGAAAACCCCUGUCAAUUAAGGAAUGGAUGUCACGUAGCCCCCCGAAGCCCAGGACUGAGCAGCUGAGCGGUGCUCGCCAUUUCUCUGACAGCGAGAGGACUGGCCUGGCUCAGGUCCACAACCCCAGGUGGUGCCUGGGAAGCCACUGGAAGGCACAGGAGCCUAUUAGAAAACCCAUUUGUGCAUACCCCAAACUCGUGAAAGUGCUGAGGCAUCUUCUCCUAGAAGAACAAAGGAGGCCAAACAGAGAAUGAAGGAAGCAACGCCUACAGUGGUCCAUUUCCAAGACAAAAUGCCUUGAAUCGGCUUAGGUCGGUAAACUACAGAAGAAACAGGAUGUCCUAGCCAGUGCCUGCUUGUUGGCCUCCCCUUCUCCCUCCCUUCCCCCCGACCCUUAGGUGCUCUCACCCGAACUAAAGAAGUUUGGUCUAAGAUGAAAGUUUACCAGCCUGCAAAAUAGCUGGCUUUGUUCUUAUCAGCCUGCCCAGCUACUUAGGUCGUAAGUCAAAUGCUUAAAGAGCCCCUGAGCUGACUGGGAUUGCAAUGCAUUGUGGGCUGCAACAAAAUGCAGCAGGACAACCCUAAAGAAAACACCUAUAGCCCCCGCCCGACAACCAACAGAUCAUGUCCCAGACGACUGUGACCUCAGAGUACUCAGCCUGGGAGGAACCGGGGCAGGGACCUGUGCACGGGGGGAUGAAUUCCUUGUUGAAACUGCGCUGGGUGUGGCUGCCCAUUAGACACCGGAUCCUGCAAGACCAUCAUUAAAAGUCUCACUCUCGGCCA